UACAGAGGUCCCGAGCGUUGUUCGGAUUCAUUGGGCGUAAAGGGCGCGUAGGCGGCCUGUUAAGUCGAACGUGAAAUCCCCGGGCUCAACCCGGGAACUGCGUCCGAUACUGGCAGGCUUGAAUCCGGGAGAGGGAUGCGGAAUUCCAGGUGUAGCGGUGAAAUGCGUAGAUAUCUGGAGGAACACCGGUGGCGAAGGCGGCAUCCUGGACCGGCAUUGACGCUGAGGCGCGAAAGCCAGGGGAGCAAACGGG
rnacentral:rRNA from 1 species